GUCAUCUAUAGAAAAAUGAAAUGAUGAAGCCUUUUCAAAAUGAACUCAAGCAGACAACAAUAAUGACAAUAAUAAUAAUAAUAUCGGGCGUAGUCCAUACGAGUUGAGGACACGUUCUUGAGGCCUGUCAGAACUCUCCGAACCGAAGUGGCAAAAAGCAACAACAACAACAACAACAAUACGAAAAUCCAAUACCAAAGAAACAGAUGCUUCUAAGACACGGAGCGGAGAGAUCAUAGCCAGAAAAGUAACAGCAACAACAACGGCAACAACAAUAAAACUGAAACCCUCUGAAAUCCCAAAGAGUCUGCCCCAUGCCUCGUCUCUGGAAAACGACCCGACCAGGCACAAUCCAGUUUUCUGUCUGCUUCUUUUUGUGUGCCCUUGCAAGCGGGUAUAUUCAGUUUGUUGUGCAACGCAGCAAAGGAGGCAUGUCUGAGUGUAUCUAUAUCUAUUCUUGUUCAACUAUUAAUAUACUAGCCUCGAUUUA
rnacentral:sRNA from 1 species